rnacentral:rRNA from 1 species
GACGAACGCUGGCGGCGUGCUUAACACAUGCAAGUCGAACGGAAAGGCCCUGCUUUUGUGGGGUGCUCGAGUGGCGAACGGGUGAGUAACACGUGAGUAACCUGCCCUUGACUUUGGGAUAACUUCAGGAAACUGGGGCUAAUACCGGAUAGGAUCUCCUGCUGCAUGGUGGGGGUUGGAAAGUUUCGGCGGUUGGGGAUGGACUCGCGGCUUAUCAGCUUGUUGGUGGGGUAGUGGCUUACCAAGGCUUUGACGGGUAGCCGGCCUGAGAGGGUGACCGGCCACAAGGGGACUGAGAGACGGAGCAGACGCGUACAGGAGGCAGCAGGGGGGAGUAUGGCACAGUGGGAGGGAGCGUGAUGAAGAAACGCCGCGUGCGGGAUGACGGUCUUCGGGGUGUAAACAGCUGUAGCCUGUGACGAAGCGGGAGUGACGGUAAUGGGUAAAGAAGCACCGGCUAACUACGUG